GUCGCUAUCGUCCAAUGGUCAAGACGGCACGUUGUGGCCGUGCAAAUCUGUGUUCGAUUCACAGUGGUGACA